GAUGAACGCUGGCGGCGUGCCUAAUACAUGCAAGUCGAGCGAACUGAUUAGAAGCUUGCUUCUAUGACGUUAGCGGCGGACGGGUGAGUAACACGUGGGCAACCUGCCUGUAAGACUGGGAUAACUUCGGGAAACCGAAGCUAAUACCGGAUAGGAUCUUCUCCUUCAUGGGAGAUGAUUGAAAGAUGGUUUCGGCUAUCACUUACAGAUGGGCCCGCGGUGCAUUAGCUAGUUGGUGAGGUAACGGCUCACCAAGGCAACGAUGCAUAGCCGACCUGAGAGGGUGAUCGGCCACACUGGGACUGAGACACGGCCCAGACUCCUACGGGAGGCAGCAGUAGGGAAUCUUCCGCAAUGGACGAAAGUCUGACGGAGCAACGCCGCGUGAGUGAUGAAGGCUUUCGGGUCGUAAAACUCUGUUGUUAGGGAAGAACAAGUACAAGAGUAACUGCUUGUACC
rnacentral:rRNA from 2 species